ACGUUCGUAGCUCAAUCGGUUAGAGCACCACUAUGACAUGGUGGAGGUUAGUGGUUCAAUUCCACUCGAACGUA